rnacentral:siRNA from 1 species
GCUCGAGGUAGCUGGACGAGUGA